rnacentral:misc_RNA from 1 species
GACAGAGGGUGCAAACGUUGCUCGGAAUCACUGGGCGUAAAGCGCGUGUAGGCGGGUCGACAAGUCGGGUGUGAAAGCCCUGGGCUCAACCCAGGAUCUGCAUUCGAAACUGUCGGUCUUGAGUGUCGGAGAGGGAGGCGGAAUUCCAGGUGUAGAGGUGAAAUUCGUAGAUAUCUGGAGGAACACCAGUGGCGAAGGCGGCCUCCUGGACGACGACUGACGCUGAGACGCGAAAGCGUGGGGAGCAAACAGG